CCUACGGGUGGCAGCAGUGAGGAAUAUUGGUCAAUGGACGAGAGUCUGAACCAGCCAAGUAGCGUGAAGGAUGACUGCCCUAUGGGUUGUAAACUUCUUUUAUAUGGGAAUAAAAUGGUCCACGUGUGGGAUUAUGUAUGUAACAUAUGAAUAAGGAUCGGCUAACUACGGGCCAGCAGCCGCGGUCAUACGUAGGAUACGAGCAUUAUCCGGAGUGACUGGGUGUAAAGAGUUGCGUAGGGGGCAUAAGAAGUAGCUAGUGAAAUCUGGUGGCUCAACCAUUCAGACUACUAGCUAAACUGUUAAGCUCGAGACCGUUAGGGGUAACUGGAAUUGCUAGUGUAGGAGUGAAAUCCGUAGAUAUUAGAAGGAACACCAAUAGCGUAGGCAGGUUACUGGGACGGUUCUGACACUAAGGCACGAAAGCGUAGGGAGCAAACGGGAUUAGAUACCCUGGUAGUC
rnacentral:rRNA from 1 species